rnacentral:rRNA from 1 species
CCUACGGGUGACAGCAGUAGGGAAUUUUCCACAAUGGACGAAAGUCUGAUGGAGCAACGCCGCGUGAGUGAAGAAGGGUUUCGGCUCGUAAAGCUCUGUUGGUAGUGACGAAAGAUCGAGUUAGUAACUGGCCUUUAUUUGACGGUACUUACUUAGAAAGUCACGGCUAACUACGUGCCAGCAGCCGCGGUAAUACGUAGGUGGCACGCGUUGUCCGGAUUUAUUGGGCGGAAGGCGAGUGCAGGCGGUUCAAUAAGUCUGAUGUGAAAGCCUUCGGCGCAACCGGAGAAUUGCAUCAGAAACGGUUGAACUUGAGUGCAGAAGAGGAGAGUGGAACUCCAGGUGUAGCGGUGGAAUGCGUAGAUAUAUGGAGGAACACCAGUGGCGAAGGCGACUCUCUGGUCUGCAACUGACGCUGAGGCUCGAAAGCAUGGGUAGCGAACAGGAUUAGAUACCCGGGUAGUC